ACUGGUUUAAAGUGAUUGGAAAAAUUAAUUUCUCUUAUAUAUGCUUUACUUUAACAUAAUUUAUAAUAAUUAACAAGCUCAGCUAGAAAAUUGUGACGAUACAUAAACCGAAUAAACGGGAAAUUGCACUCUCUGUUACGAUGGAAUUAGUAGUAACGAGCCGGUUUGUCACCUCAGGGUGGUAAUCAAUAAGAAAGAAAAGAGAUACUGAUGAAGAAAGAUUUGAAGAAAGAGAGAGAGGGAGAGUAUUAACACUCCUGGUGCUUGAACUACUUUCAUAUUUUCUCCAGUCAAACAU